AUCUGGGCGGCGGAAUUCAGGAUGGCUGGCGUGCUCUCGCGGUGCGUCGGUCGUUUGAUAUUUCCGUCGCCAACUCACGCAGACGUCGCGACCUGUUCGCGGUCGGUCCCUGCUCGGAGGAGCCGCGUUCGAGCUCGUUGUGUGCGCGUUUCGGCGUGUCACACGGCGAAGGCGCGGAUCUCUGGCUGGCCGUCGGACAGUAUGCUUAACGGUGUCCGGUGUCGUCGUCUCGUACGCGCGGCAUCGGUACCGGUCAGCGACGAAUUCUUCGGGCCUCUUUCCGACCCGUCUUGAAACACGGACCAAGGAGUCUAACAUGCGCGCGAGUCGCGGGGUAUCGAGCGUACUUCGGUGCGUUCGUUAUGUUGCGAAACCCGUACAUGUCGAAGGCGUAAUGAAAGUGAAUGGGGAAGAUGGUGUUCCGAGUUCACGUUCCGCGAUCAUCGGUAUCGCGGCCGGACGCCCGCAUUCCCGGGGCGUCUCAACGGCCCGUCGCUGAUGCGGACAGUCGUCUCUCGGGGCGGCUGUCGGUCGGCGACGAACCGA
rnacentral:rRNA from 2 species